rnacentral:rRNA from 1 species
AAGGGCACCACAAGAACGCGUGGAGCAUGUGGCUUAAUUUGACUCAACGCGGGAAAUCUUACCGGGUCCGUACACACUGAGGAUUGACAGGCAAUAUCUGAGUUAACAUCUCUGUAUGUUUCUCAGUGUUAAAUAUGCUAGUCCUUUCAUGAUUAUGUGAUAGGUGGUGCAUGGCCGUUCUUAGUUCGUGGAGUGAUCUGUCUGCUUAAUUGCGUUUCACUAAGGUUCUAUAUUUAAUGCAUGUUGUCAGCGCAUUGACCCCUCGUUUUCUUCAUUGAUUACGUAGCGUGUGUCUUUGAUUACGUCUGGCUCGUGCGAUUAGAACCUGAAAGCAACGAACGUGACCGCAACCUCUUGUUGCCUUCAUUUCCAAUUGUUUACGCUAAUAUUUCGAUAUAUGUGUUAUUCAAUACGAAGGCUUUCUAAACUAGAGGGACCGCUGUUAUCUUCUUAAACCAGAGGAAGGUUGCGGCAAUAACAGGUCUGUGAUGCCCUUAGAUGUUCCGGGCUGCACACGUGCUACAAUGAUUAUUGCAGUGAGCAUCUCAUUUAUUAAUACAUCGCAAGCGCGAGUCCGUUUAUUCUAUGUAUCAGUUCAUGCUGUUCGUAGCUUUAAAUGCUGUAUCUCUGCGCGCGAUAAAGCCUGCUUUGAAAGUUUAGUGGGUAAUCAAUUAGAAGUAAUGAUUUCCUUAAUUUAUCGCACUUAUAUAUGCGGCGUCUUUACCCGGCUGGCCUUUUGUGCCAGAUUCUUGUGUGUAUUGACGAUUGCAAACAUUAUGUUUCAAUUGCCUAUUUACGGUACCACAUGUGCAAUUGUCAAUUCAUGGUGGGGACAGACCAUUGUUAAUUGUUGGUCUCGGUCUUAACUAGGAAUGCCUUGUACGGGUCUUUGGUUCAACAGACCACCCGGAAUACGUCCCUGCCCUUUGUACACACCGCCCGUCGCUCUUACCGAUGGACUUCUCUGUGAGUUUGAGGGACUGGGUUACCUUAAAUAACCUAUGGAAACUUAAACGAACAGCGUGGUCUAAAGGAAAGAGAAGUCAUAACAAGGCAUCGGUAGGUGAACCU